rnacentral:rRNA from 1 species
CCUACGGGGGGCAGCAGUGAGGAAUAUUGGUCAAUGGACGAGAGUCUGAACCAGCCAAGUAGCGUGAAGGAUGACUGCCCUAUGGGUUGUAAACUUCUUUUAUAUGGGAAUAAAAUGUUCCACGUGUGGGAUUUUGUAUGUACCAUAUGAAUAAGGAUCGGCUAACUCCGUGCCAGCAGCCGCGGUAAUACGGAGGAUCCGAGCGUUAUCCGGAUUUAUUGGGUUUAAAGGGAGCGUAGGUGGAUUGUUAAGUCAGUUGUGAAAGUUUGCGGCUCAACCGUAAAAUUGCAGUUGAAACUGGCAGUCUUGAGUACAGGAGAGGUGGGAGGAUUUCGGGGUGUAGCGGUGAAAUGCUUAGAUAUCACGAAGAACUCCGAUUGCGAAGGCAGUUCACUGGACUGCAACUGACACUGAGGCUCGAAAGUGUGGGUAUCAAACAGGAUUAGAUACCCUUGUAGUC